UACGAAGGGGGCUAGCGUUGCUCGGAAUCACUGGGCGUAAAGGGUGCGUAGGCGGGCCUUUAAGUCAGGGGUGAAAUCCUGGAGCUCAACUCCAGAACUGCCUUUGAUACUGAGGAUCUUGAGUUCGGGAGAGGUGAGUGGAACUGCGAGUGUAGAGGUGAAAUUCGUAGAUAUUCGCAAGAACACCAAUGGCGAAGGCAGCUCGCUGGGACGGUACUGACGCUGAGACGCGAAAGCGUGGGGAGCAAACAGG
rnacentral:rRNA from 1 species